CCUACGGGAGGCAGCAGUAGGGAAUCUUCCGCAAUGGACGAAAGUCUGACGGAGCAACGCCGCGUGAGUGAUGAAGGCUUUCGGGUCGUAAAACUCUGUUGUUAGGGAAGAACAAGUGCUAGUUGAAUAAGCUGGCACCUUGACGGUACCUAACCAGAAAGCCACGGCUAACUACGUGCCAGCAGCCGCGGUAAUACGUAGGUGGCAAGCGUUAUCCGGAAUUAUUGGGCGUAAAGCGCGCGCAGGUGGUUUCUUAAGUCUGAUGUGAAAGCCCACGGCUCAACCGUGGAGGGUCAUUGGAAACUGGGAGACUUGAGUGCAGAAGAGGAAAGUGGAAUUCCAUGUGUAGCGGUGAAAUGCGUAGAGAUAUGGAGGAACACCAGUGGCGAAGGCGACUUUCUGGUCUGUAACUGACACUGAGGCGCGAAAGCGUGGGGAGCAAACAGGAUUAGAUACCCUGGUAGUCCACGCCGUAAACGAUGAGUGCUAAGUGUUAGAGGGUUUCCGCCCUUUAGUGCUGAAGUUAACGCAUUAAGCACUCCGCCUGGGGAGUACGGCCGCAAGGCUGAAACUCAAAUGAAUUGACGGGG
rnacentral:rRNA from 1 species